rnacentral:rRNA from 1 species
GACGAACGCUGGCGGCGUGCUUAACACAUGCAAGUCGAACGGAAAGGCCCUGCUUUUGUGGGGUGCUCGAGUGGCGAACGGGUGAGUAACACGUGAGUAACCUGCCCUUGACUUUGGGAUAACUUCAGGAAACUGGGGCUAAUACCGGAUAGGAGCUCCUGCUGCAUGGUGGGGGUUGGAAAGUUUCGGCGGUUGUGGAUGGACUCGCGGCUUAUCAGCUUGUUGGUGGGGUAGUGGCUUACCAAGGCUUUGACGGGUAGGCGGCCUGAGAGGGUGACCGGCCACAAUGGGACUGAGAUACGGCGCAGACUCCUACGGGAGGCAGCAGUGGGGAAUAUUGCACAAUGGGCGGAAGCCUGAUGCAGCAACGCCGCGUGCGGGAUGACGGCCUUCGGGUUGUAAACCGCUGUCGCCUGUGACGAAGCGUGAGUGACGGUAAUGGGUAAAGAGGCACCGGCUAACUACGUG